CUGUUAUCAAGAAAGGUGGAGGGAAUAGACCCUAUGAAGCCUUAGCAACCCUUUAUAUAAUAAAGAAGGUGCUACAUUCUAUCCCACUGGGACUAGAUAACGA
rnacentral:ncRNA from 2 species